AACGAACGCUGGCGGCAGGCUUAACACAUGCAAGUCGAACGCCCCGCAAGGGGAGUGGCAGACGGGUGAGUAACGCGUGGGAAUCUACCUAGUUCUACGGAGCAACACAGGGAAACUUGUGCUAAUACCGUACACGCCCUACGGGGGAAAGAUUUAUCGGAAUUAGAUGAGCCCGCGUAAGAUUAGCUAGUUGGUGGGGUAAUGGCCUACCAAGGCGACGAUCUUUAACUGGUCUGAGAGGAUGAUCAGCCACACUGGGACUGAGACACGGCCCAGACUCGUACGGGAGGCAGCAGUGGGGAAUAUUAGAAAAUGGGCGAAAGCCUGAUCCAGCCAUGCCGCGUGAGUGAUGAAGGCCUUAGGGUUGUAAAGCUCUUUCAGUAGGGAAGAUAAUGACGGUACCUACAGAAGAAGCCCCGGCUAACUUCGUGCCAGCAGCCGCCGUAACAC
rnacentral:rRNA from 1 species